GGGGCCUUAGCUCAGCUGGUAGAGCGCUGCCUUUGCAAGGCAGAUGUCAGGGGUUCGAAUCCCCUAGGCUCCA
rnacentral:tRNA from 3 species